UACAGAGGAUGCAAGCGUUAUCCGGAAUGAUUGGGCGUAAAGCGUCUGUAGGUGGCUUUUUAAGUCCGCCGUCAAAUCCCAGGGCUCAACUCUGGACAGGCGGUGGAAACUACCAAGCUCGAGUACGGUAGGGGCAGAGGGAAUUUCCGGUGGAGCGGUGAAAUGCGUAGAGAUGUGGAGGAACACCUGUGGCGAAGGCGCCUUGCUGGCCGAUUUCUGACGCUGAGGCGCGAAAGCGUGGGGAGCAAACAGG
rnacentral:rRNA from 1 species